ACUUAGUGGCGGACGGGUGAGUAACGCGUGGAUAACCUGCCUUACACUGGGGGAUAACACUUAGAAAUAGGUGCUAAUACCGCAUAAGCGCACGGAGCCGCAUGGCUCAGUGUGAAAAACUCCGGUGGUGUAAGAUGGAUCCGCGUCUGAUUAGCUGGUUGGCGGGGUAGAAGCCCACCAAGGCGACGAUCAGUAGCCGGCCUGAGAGGGUGACCGGCCACAUUGGGACUGAGACACGGCCCAAACUCCUACGGGAGGCAGCAGUGGGGAAUAUUGCACAAUGGGGGAAACCCUGAUGCAGCAACGCCGCGUGAGUGAAGAAGUCAUUCGUGAUGUAAAGCUCUAUCAGCAGGGAAGAAAAUGACGGUACCUGAGUAAGAAGCCCCGGCUAACUACGUGCCAGCAGCCGCGGUAAUACGUAGGGGGCAAGCGUUAUCCGGAUUUACUGGGUGUAAAGGGAGCGUAGACGGCCAGACAAGUCUGAAGUGAAAAUCCAGCGCUUAACGUUGGAAGUGCUUUGGAAACUGCCGGGCUAGAGUGCAGGAGGGGCAGGCGGAAUUCCUAGUGUAGCGGUGAAAUGCGUAGAUAUUAGGAGGAACACCAGUGGCGAAGGCGGCCUGCUGGACUGCAACUGACGUUGAGGCUCGAAGGCGUGGGGAGCAAACAGGAUUAGAUACCCUGGUAGUCCACGCGGUAAACGAUGAUUACUAGGUGUCGGGGGGCUAGAGCCCUUCGGUGCCGUCGCAAACG
rnacentral:rRNA from 1 species